rnacentral:rRNA from 1 species
UUAUCCUACGGGACGCAGCAGUGGGGAAUAUUGCACAAUGGGCGAAAGCCUGAUGCAGCAACGCCGCGUGAGCGAUGAAGGCCUUCGGGUCGUAAAGCUCUGUCCUCAAGGAAGAUAAUGACGGUACUUGAGGAGGAAGCCCCGGCUAACUACGUGCCAGCAGCCGCGGUAAUACGUAGGGGGCUAGCGUUAUCCGGAAUUACUGGGCGUAAAGGGAGCGUAGGUGGUUUCUUAAGUCAGAGGUGAAAGGCUACGGCUCAACCGUAGUAAGACUUUGAAACGGGGGGACUUGAGUGCAGGAGAGG